AUGGUGAGCUGGGGAGGACAUCGCAGACCAGGCUGGGAGUCCUCCGAGAGCCUCAGGACGUUGUCUCCAGGGUGGUGUGUGACUUACCUCAAGGCCGAUGGAGACGCACCGGGGCGUGAAGUGACACAGUCGGGCUCUCCAGUCCGACCUUUCCCUUCUGUGGUCGGUAGCAGAGAGAGAGGCCCAGAGAGCAGAAAUAAAUCGCUGGAGGUCACACAACUGGCAACAGCAGCUGGCCACCCCAGGGGCACCACGCCAUCAGGGCCCGGAGCUCUCUCACAGGACACAAGGUCCAGCUGA
rnacentral:lncRNA from 1 species